GUGAGUCAUCGAAUCUUUGAACGCACCUUGCGCCCCUUGGUUAUUCCUCGGAGCAUGCCUGUUUGAGUAUCAUGAACACCUCAACUCUCAUGGUCUUCCAUGAUGAGCUUGGACUUUGGGGGUUUGCUGGCCCUGUGGCCGGCUCCUCUCAAAUGAAUCAGCUUGCCAGUGUUUGGUGGCGUCACGGGUGUGAUAACUAUCUACGCUCGCGGUCGUCUGCCAGGUAACCCUCAGCGAUGAAGGUUCAUUGGGGCUCAUAAACGUCUCUCCCCAGCGAGGACAACUUUUGAACGUUCGAUCUCAAAUCAGGUAGGACUACCCGCUGAACUUAAA
rnacentral:rRNA from 1 species